CGGCCGCUGCCCGGGGGCCCCGCUCGGAGGGAAGGCUGAGGAAUCGAGUCCACAUUUCACUCCAGAUUGGCCCAUCUUCCAGGGGACAGGGAAGGGAAAUGGCUAUGAUGGAGCCAGCUCAGAUGCCGGUGAGCUUCGAGGAGGUGGCUGUGUAUUUCACCCAGGGGCAGGGGGCUC